UACGAAGGGGGCUAGCGUUGUUCGGAAUUACUGGGCGUAAAGCGCACGUAGGCGGAUACUUAAGUCAGGGGUGAAAUCCCGGGGCUCAACUCCAGAACUGCCUUCGAUACUGGCGCUCUUGAGUCCGGAAGAGGUGAGUGGAACUCCUAGUGUAGAGGUGGAAUUCGUAGAUAUUAGGAAGAACACCAGUGGCGAAGGCGGCUCACUGGUCCGGUACUGACGCUGAGGUGGCGAAAGCGUGGGGAGCAAACAGG
rnacentral:rRNA from 1 species